rnacentral:rRNA from 1 species
UACGUAGGGGGCGAGCGUUGUCCGGAUUUAUUGGGCGUAAAGAGCUCGUAGGCGGCUUGGCAAGUCGGGUGUGAAACCUCCAGGCUCAACCUGGAGACGCCACUCGAUACUGCCAUGGCUAGAGUCCGGUAGGGGACCACGGAAUUCCUGGUGUAGCGGUGAAAUGCGCAGAUAUCAGGAGGAACACCGGUGGCGAAGGCAAUCCCCUGGGCCUGUACUGACGCUCAUGCACGAAAGCGUGGGGAGCAAACAGG